rnacentral:tRNA from 1 species
GCAUUGGUGGUUCACUGGUAGAAUUCUCGCCUGCCACGUGGGAGACCCUGGUCGGGUUCCUGGCCAAUGCA